rnacentral:lncRNA from 1 species
AACAACAAAGAAACAAAGGUAUAUUUCCCUAUACCUUGACCAAUACUAGGAUUUUAUCUACAACUCUAAAACACCACCAAUCUUCCUUUGCACUAAGGAUUUAUUCUGCUCUUUCUCUUUUUCUCCCAAAACGUCUUUCUCUCCCUAUCUCACUUUCUUUCACGUUUUAGAUUUAGGUGUAAAAUAUGCAUACCCUAUUUCCUUUUCUCCUUUUUAUCUUUCUCCACUUUAUCUCUAUCUUUUUUGUUUUAAUAAAAUCUUUCCCUGAAUCUCUAAAACCCAUUCAAGAUCAUAUUUCUUAUUUUCUUUCAACUACUUUUUAAAAUAUAUUAACAACUAACUCCUCCAAAAAGAUUCACGUAAUUUUUAACUUUAAGAUUUUUAGUUAAUUUAAUUUGCACGCUUUUACUUCUUACACCCCCUUAAUUAAUUUUUGCACUAAUUAAUUUAAGGUAGAAGACUAUUUUGCCCUUAAGAAAAUACAAAUAAAACAAAGGUUUCCCUUCACUCUCUUUCUUCAUAGAAUUGAACCCAUACACAUUCAAUCCUAAACCACCCAC